rnacentral:rRNA from 1 species
AGUGAACGCUGGCGGUAGGCCUAACACAUGCAAGUCGAACGGCAGCACAGGAGAGCUUACUCUCUGGGUGGCGAGUGGCGGACGGGUGAGGAAUACAUCGGAAUCUACUCUGUCGUGGGGGAUAACGUAGGGAAACUUACGCUAAUACCGCAUACGACCUACGGGUGAAAGCAGGGGACCUUCGGGCCUUGCGCGAUUGAAUGCGCCGAUGUCGGAUUAGCUAGUUGGCGGGGUAAAGGCCCACCAGGGCGACGAUCCGUAGCUGGUCUGAGAGGAUGAUCAGCCACACUGGAACUGAGACACGGUCCAGACUCCUACGGGAGGCAGCAGUGGGGAAUAUUGGACAAUGGGCGCAAGCCUGAUCCAGCCAUACCGCGUGGGUGAAGAAGGCCUUCGGGUUGUAAAGCCCUUUUGUUGGGAAAGAAAUCCAGCUGGCUAAUACCCGGUUGGGAUGACGGUACCCAAAGAAUAAGCACCGGCUAACUUCGUGCCAGCCGCCGCCGUAA